CGCCGAAGGAACUAUUUCAGAAAAUCAUGGCAAAGUACUAGUGUGGUCUGUUUGGUCAAUCCAUUACAUGUUGCUGAUUUUGUUUUCUAGCGUAAUUCAACAUGAAGCAUCGUUGUUCAUUUUUUUCUUCGGACAAAAAUAUAAAAGGUCUACUUGUACCUCAAUUUUAUGUAUGGAAAUAAAAUCCUAAUUUCUAGUAUUUUGCUCAAUACUUGUUCCACUGUGAGAAUGUGUACAGCUUUCUUUUACUUUGAUUUUGGUUAAUGCUAGUACUGAUGACGUUCAAAU
rnacentral:lncRNA from 1 species